CCCCACAAUCCUGCAAUACGGGGAUUUUCCCUGGUUACACAGGCUCAGGAAAGGGAUGGCUUGCCCAGCAGAUCAUAGUCGUGAGCUGUCCCUGGAAAUGAUGGGAAGUCAGAUGGAGGAAGAGUGGGAAGACCGCUAGAUGUCCCAGUACCUUCCUGGAAAGAACACAUGCCUUCAGGACUUGUGGCUGAUAAGGCCAGAGGGAGAAAGACGUUUACAAUCACCCAACAUCUGAAGCCUUGCCCAGCCUCCAACAGGCUAUGAGAAGUGGGUUGUAAAUGGACGUUUCCAUGUCCUGACUACCUGUUCCUAAAUACCCAGCAGCUGCUUCCCAAAUUAUCACACAGAG